rnacentral:rRNA from 1 species
GACGUAGGGCGCGAGCGUUGUCCGGAUUUAUUGGGCGUAAAGAGCUCGUAGGCGGCUUGUCGCGUCGAAUGUGAAAACCCACGGCUCAACUGUGGGCUUGCAUUCGAUACGGGCAGGCUAGAGUGCGGUAGGGGAGAUUGGAAUUCCUGGUGUAGCGGUGGAAUGCGCAGAUAUCAGGAGGAACACCAAUGGCGAAGGCAGAUCUCUGGGCCGUAACUGACGCUGAGGAGCGAAAGCAUGGGGAGCGAACAGG